rnacentral:lncRNA from 1 species
UUGACCACACAUUUACAUAGAUAGAGUAAAUGCACAAAACCAACCUCACACACCAACCUCACAAACACUACUUUGAAUUGCUGCAAUGUCAGUUUUAUAAUAAGUUCGGCUGUUUUUUGUUUCCCUUCUGACGUUUUUUUUUAAAUUUCCCCUCCGAACUUGGAAGUAACACACUUAUUUCGACUUUAAUAUUUCACCACCCAACUGCCCAAACACGAAAUUGAUUACACUUAUAAAUCGGAAAUAUUUCAAGAUAGAAAAAAGUUAUAGAUUGACUUACGUAAGUGUUGUCCGAUAAGUACUACAGUAUAUCGUUUUC